GUGGGUAGUUUGACUGGGGCGGUCUCCUCCUAAAGAGUAACGGAGGAGCACGAAGGUUGGCUAAUCCUGGUCGGACAUCAGGAGGUUAGUGCAAUGGCAUAAGCCAGCUUGACUGCGAGCGUGACGGCGCGAGCAGGUGCGAAAGCAGGUCAUAGUGAUCCGGUGGUUCUGAAUGGAAGGGCCAUCGCUCAACGGAUAAAAGGUACUCCGGGGAUAACAGGCUGAUACCGCCCAAGAGUUCAUAUCGACGGCGGUGUUUGGCACCUCGAUGUCGGCUCAUCACAUCCUGGGGCUGAAGUAGGUCCCAAGGGUAUGGCUGUUCGCCAUUUAAAGUGGUACGCGAGCUGGGUUUAGAACGUCGUGAGACAGUUCGGUCCCUAUCUGCCGUGGGCGCUGGAGAAUUGAGGGGGGCUGCUCCUAGUACGAGAGGACCGGAGUGGACGCAUCACUGGUGUUCGGGUUGUCAUGCCAAUGGCACUGCCCGGUAGCUAAAUGCGGAAGAGAUAAGUGCUGAAAGCAUCUAAGCACGAAACUUGCCCCGAGAUGAGUUCUCCCUGAGACUUUAAGUCUCCUGAAGGAACGUUGAAGACGACGACGUUGAUAGGCCGGGUGUGUAAGCGCAGCGAUGCGUUGAGCUAACCGGUACUAAUGAACCGUGAGGCUUAACCUUACAACGCCGAAG
rnacentral:rRNA from 2 species